UCCCAUGUGGUCUAGUGGUUAGGAUUCCACGCUCUCACCGUGGCGGCCGGGGUUCGAUUCCCCGCUUGGGAA
rnacentral:tRNA from 1 species